rnacentral:rRNA from 1 species
CUACGUAGGGUGCAAGCGUUAAUCGGAAUUACUGGGCGUAAAGCGUGCGCAGGCGGUUUUGUAAGACAGUGGUGAAAUCCCCGGGCUCAACCUGGGAACUGCCAUUGUGACUGCAAGGCUGGAGUGCGGCAGAGGGGGAUGGAAUUCCGCGUGUAGCAGUGAAAUGCGUAUAUAUGCGACAAAACACCGAUGGCGAAUGCAAUCCCCUGGUGCUACACUGACGGACAUGCAAGAAAGCGUGGGGAACAAACAGGAUUAUAUACCGUGGUUGUCCACGCCAUAAACGAUGUCAUCUGUGUGUUGGGGAUUUAUUUUCUCAGUAAUGAAGCUAACGCGUGAAGUUGACCGCCUGGGGAGUACGGCCGCAAGGUUAAAACUCAAAUGAAUUGACGGGG